rfam:Cavia porcellus supercont2_2 genomic scaffold, whole genome shotgun sequence.
AUUUAGCUCAGCGGCAUAAGCACCUGCCUUGCAAGCAGGUGGCUGUGAGUUCGAACCCCGGUAAU